rnacentral:rRNA from 1 species
AUACGGAGGGGGCUAGCGUUGUUCGGAAUUACUGGGCGUAAAGCGCGCGUAGGCGGAUUGUUAAGUCGGGGGUGAAAUCCCGGGGCUCAACCCCGGAACUGCCUCUGAUACUGGCAGUCUUGAGUUCGAGAGAGGUGAGUGGAAUUCCGAGUGUAGAGGUGAAAUUCGUAGAUAUUCGGAGGAACACCAGUGGCGAAGGCGGCUUCCUGGAUCAAUACUGACACUGAGGCGCGAAAGCGUGGGGAGCAAACAGGAUUAGAAACCCCAGUAGUCC